CAGAAGUGUUCCUAUUCUGAUCAUCAGCAGAUCUAAAGGGCAGCUCCACCAAAACCAAAAUAAUAUUCUACUCAAAAUAUUACAAAAAUGUGGAUAGUAUGUGCAAAGCCAAGAGUGAAUGUGCCUUCAGCCCUGACCAAAGACACAUGUGAGCACAACACAACACGUUAGCACCAGCCCACCAGCCUCAGCUUGUCCUUAUUAGAGAGUUACAGCCAAGGAGCCAAAGAAUCCUAACUGAAUCUUAUUAAUAAUAAUGGGCUUCAAAUGAGAUGGACAAGAGCAGCCAUAUGUCAAAGAUGGACGUUAUAACAGGAAGGUUUCUUGCAGAAGAUACCAUAAUUGACAGCACAGUAAUUGGAACAGAGCAAUGGCUUAUUGAUAGGACAGCUUCUGGACCUCAAUGUGGACCUCUACUGUGUGAUGGGGACUGUUUCACCCUGCCCUUGCCCUAUGGGACAGAUCUCCCAUAACAGCUCUUUGGUGUGCUCUGAUCUCUGGAGAGAAGGUUGGUCUUCACCACCCAACUUCACCCAGGCAACAUGGGGACGGAACGGGCCUAAUCUCUUCACCACAGUACUCAGUUAUUACUGGAACUGGAAACAACAGGAUUUAUUGCUCUUUGAGGGUGAUAGAAGACCCCAAGCACCAACGCAGCCAGAGGGGUAGAAAAAGGCCCAUCUUCCCCCCGGACCUGCCCUGGAAAAUGAUUGUUUUCUCUUGGUGGCAGUAGGGUGUUACAUCUCAGACAUUCUUUAAUCUAUUUAAGCUGAGCAGCAAAGGAAACAGAAAGCGAUGAGGAAAGACUGAAGAGGAUCUUGGUGGGUGAGGGAAGGUGAUGUGGUCACCUCUGCACCAAGGAAGUGGAGGGGAAGGAUUGCCAGAACACAGCAGUCUCCGAGAGCUCCAUGCCUCAGCCCAUAUAAGCCACAGGUUUGCAGAGGAGGGACAGGGCGCAGAGAUGUGACAUCAGCAGAUGAGGAGAGUUUCUCCCAGAGCCCAGCACCAUAGGGACUGGCUGGCAGCAGCUCAGUGCUGGGAGGGGAGCACUUGCCCUCCAUUGUCCUGUCCCCACAGUGUACUCUGAAAGCCUUCUGAUGCCUCAACAGUGUUCAUUUCCAGUAAUACUUCCCAAUUACCAACUAUCACGUUUUUGUAAUGCAAGCAAAUUUGCAUAAUGCUGAAGGCAAAUUAAUAUGAAAAUCGAAAUACAAAUUUUGACAUUUCCUCCACCAAAAAAAAAAAAAGAAGAGAAAUACUCUUCCACUUUCAUCCUUGAUGGUAAUGGUGAGGGAUGCUUAGUGAGGAACAUGCUCUGGCUUCAUUGGCACUGCUCAUACCUUGGAUGAGUGAUGAGGAAAUUCCUGCAUGUGCAGUCCUGCCAGCAGCAAAAGCCAAGCCCCUGCUGAAGCCUCCGGCACUAUGGGGCAUUUCACAAGUUAUGACUUUGCAGAUCAGGGCUUUCUAGAUGGAGAGUGAAUCAUGGCUUGCCAGUGUAAAAUUAGAGGAGACCAAUUUUAAAUAAAACCUUAUAGGCUCACA
rnacentral:lncRNA from 1 species